rnacentral:rRNA from 1 species
GCCCAGCCGUAAACUUUAAUUUACAUUCAAAUCGCCAGGGAACUACGAGCUAAGCUUAAAACCCAAAGGACUUGACGGUACCCCAUAUCCCCCUAGAGGAGCCUGUCCUAUAAUCGAUAAUCCACGUUUAACCUCACCAUUUCUAGUUAAUCAGCCUGUAUACCUCCGUCGUCAGCUUACCACGUGAGCGCCAAUUAGUGAGCUUAAUGUCUUUCACCAACACGUCAGGUCAAGGUGCAGCAAAUGAAAUGGGAAGAGAUGGGCUACACUUUCUAUAUUAGAAAAAACGAAAAACUAUUUAUGAAAACUAGUUGGAAGGCGGAUUUAGCAGUAAAAAGGAAUCAGAAUGUCCAUUUUAACCCGGCACUGGGGUGUGUACACACCGCCCGUCACCCUCUUCAAAGCUUCUAACCUAGUUUUUAACAAACUAAGGCAUAACAGAAGAGGCAAGUCGUAACAUGGUAAGUAUACCGGAAGGUGUGCUUGGAAAC